GAUGAACGCUGGCGGCGUGCCUAAUACAUGCAAGUCGAGCGAACGGACGAGAAGCUUGCUUCUCUGAUGUUAGCGGCGGACGGGUGAGUAACACGUGGAUAACCUACCUAUAAGACUGGGAUAACUUCGGGAAACCGGAGCUAAUACCGGAUGAUAUUUUGAACCGCAUGGUUCAAAAGUGAAAGACGGUCUUGCUGUCACUUAUAGGUGGAUCCGCGCUGCAUUAGCUAGUUGGUAAGGUAACGGCUUACCAAGGCAACGAUGCAUAGCCGACCUGAGAGGGUGAUCGGCCAAACUGGAACUGAGACACGGUCCAGACUCCUACGGGAGGCAGCAGUAGGGAAUCUUCCGCAAUGGGCGAAAGCAUGACGGAGCAACGCCGCGUGAGUGAUGAAGGUCUUCGGAUCGUAAAACUCUGUUAUUAGGGAAGAACAAAUGUGUAAGUAACUGUGCACAUCUUGACGGUACCUAAUCAGAAAGCCACGGCUAACUACGUG
rnacentral:rRNA from 1 species